GGAGAGAUGGCCGAGUCCGGUUUAAGGCGCACGACUCGAAAUCGUGUGAGGGCCCAAAAGGCUCUCCGUGGGUUCGAAUCCCACUCUCUCCGCCA
rnacentral:tRNA from 1 species